ACCAAUGAAUGUGAGACGUUGAGUGACAGCUGUCCAAUAGGGACCCUCAGUGCUAGUAUGGUUUGCGGCUUAAGCACCGCCGCGGUCUGAGGAAUGUCAACUAUUCAACAUGGAGGCGGAGGUCGAUAAGCUGGAACUGAUGGCCAUGGAUGCUUAGAGGAGCUCCAUCUCACCAGAAAAAUGUACACAGAUAAAUGAAACUGCCAACUCUUAAGCAGGGAUUUGUAGAUCUUUGCCCCCAUAAGGUCAUGGGCCUCUAAGAAUAUCUGCUAUUCAACGGUUGGAGUGAUUUGAGAUUAAGUGACUAUCUCCUUUUAAGUAUCUUUGUAAGCAACAGUUGCUGCCAAGCAUACUCCCUCAAGAUUGUACUAAGUUCUGUUUCAAGCCCUGGGAAACCCUAAUGAUCUUUACCUGAAGGGUGACUUCAUAUAUUCCAGAAAGCUGACUCUGAUCUGGAUUACAUUCAAUACAGGCUGGAAUAUGAAAUCAAGACUAAUUACCCUGAUUCAGCAGGCAAGAAAAACCAGUUCUGGUCCAGGGGUCCCACCGAAUGACUGGCCAAAGGACUCAUUUGAAAAAAUCCAGUUACACUCUUAAAGGAAUUGUCAGCAAUAAAGUCUAGAUACAGAACGUUGCAUGUACGCUUUAAACCAAUUGCUGUUGAGCAGAAAGAAACUAAGAGCCGCAUUUGUGCUACUUUCAGUAAGACUAUGACCAUGAUACAAGAACUACAAAAGCAAACAGACCUAGAGCUAUCACCACUGACCAAAGAAGAGAACACUGCAGCAGAACAAUUAAAAUCUUACAUGUCAGACUUAUGAAGAAAUGAACUUGCAAAAGGGAACUCUAAUGGAGAAGAGAUCAAUUCCAGGUUUAGGACUAUGUCUUGCUAGCAUUUAAUGACUAGAAGUGAGGGAAUAGCAAAGGAGAUUUGGCUUAGGUGACUGCAUAGUGAUGCCUUUCAUAAGAGAGGAGAAUAUAAGAAGGGCAGAUGUUACAUGAAUAAAGUUCAGACAUAAGGAUGGAAUGGGAAUAAAGGGCUUUUUUUAAAUGGACACACACACCUAUUGUGAUUUCAGGAAAAGAAACCUCUUAAAGCUAUUUUGUAUCUGUUUUUGUAUAAUCAGGAUAACAGACAUCCUUGCCUAUUGUAAAAGAAUAUGUACUAUCAGUCAGUCAAAUGUAAAUGAACAUGUUUUGGUAGUUAAAGGAUAGAAAAAGCUAUUUGUAUUAUAUAUUACAUAUAUGUAUAUAAUUUUAUUUUUGAAAAUUUUGAUUGCAGAUGUGGUCACAUUAUUGGUGCUAAUAUGAGACUACUAGUAUGUGGCCUAUAGUCUCUUAAAAAAACCUUACUUCUCUGUGGUAGCCUCACCUUCUUUCCUGUUACUUCUGCCUGUUAAUACUGAGCAGCAUGAGCUCUGCUUUCAAAUGUUAUUUUAGCCUGUCCCUGUUGUAAAUCAACACUACCUUUGUUCUCCUUUAGCCUAUAUUAUUGUGAUUGUUCUUUCUAUAUGAAAGCUAAGAAAAAGAAAUCAGAGGACUUGCCAGUUGUGCGUGUGUAUGUGUGUGUGUGUGUGUGUGUGAAUUUCCCUAUUUAUUUUAAAGUAACUAUUGGCAAUAAGGUAAUUGUCCUAAGUAGGGAUAGAUUGUGAUACAAAUGUUAAUCACAGGGCUAUUUAUAAUAGCAACACACAUACACACACGUCUGGCUAAUUGCAGGUAAACAGGCAAGUAAAUCAUGGUGUAUCUAUACAACAAGAUGUCAGAUUGCCAAUAAAUUAUUAUUAAAUGUUCUGGGAAAUGCUGAAGCUAUAUAUAGCAGGGAGAGGGGAAGCAGAUAUUGCAGUUUUGUAGUUAAGAUUGGGCUUUGGAGUUAUAUCUGAGAUGUAAAUAGGUUUUAAAUUCUAGCUGUGUGACCGUGAGCUGAUCAUUUCUUUUUGUCAAAAUGGAUGGAAGAAUGAUGGGAUGGUAAAGUGUUUGGGUUUGAUAUUGAGUUAUUCUUCAAUAAAUGAUAUUUCCACAUAUGUAAUAAAAUGAGACAUUGAAAAGACUAAGGAAAAACAUGUCAAAUGUUAGUUCUGCAGGUCGUAAAAUUAUAUUUUUAUGUAAGGAAAUUGGUUACAAGCAUGUUUUUGUCCAUCAACAAACUUAUUAGUACUUGACAAACAGGAUUGAGAGAGUAGCUUCAGUUAAAAUUGACCUGACUAGUUUGAAUAUUCGAAGAAUGGAAAGCUCCCCUCUUUUUAAAUUACAGAGAAAUAAGUUACACCUUAGUAAAAUAAGUUAAUUUUCUUCAGUACUCAGACACUUUAUUAAAGAAGUUAAUGGGAUGUCUCUGGAAGGUCAUGUUGAUUGGUGGGACUGAAAAAUAGUAUCCCAAAGUAUCAUGAAGAGGUCAUAGCAAGUUUCAGGUGUGAAAGUGGUUUUGCUUUCUAUCAGGAAAACCUAGAUUUUACUAUUUUUCCUCUGACUCCCUUCAGUUAUCUUCUAAAUAUUGGUUCUUCCCCUCAUAGUCUCUUCGAACUUUUUAUAUUUGUUUCCAAACUUCAUUUAUUGCCUUUAGGUGGCUGAUUCCCAAAUACAACUACUAGAUCUGGAUUCGUAUUUUCCAAUAAAAACCUCUAUUUUAAUAAUCAGAUCUAACAUAUCCAGAGCAGUUACUGAUUUUGUUAUUUUGUUAAUGGCCACUAUUCUGUUAGCUGGAAUUAAAAGGUUUGUAUCUCUUUAUCCUAAUAAAUAAAGUCUAUAUAAUUGUUUCUGAAAUGUUCAGAGUAUCCAGCCACCACUUUUUCCUCACUCUUACGACCCUAAAUUUAGAUAUUUUAUUUCUCAUCUGGAUAAUUGUUUUCUUCUAUGUGACUACAGUGUUUUUAUAUCUUAAGUUGUAAGGAAUAAAAAUUUUAAUUAGGUUGCAUUUAAUACUUUUAACUUU